rnacentral:rRNA from 1 species
CACGUAGGGUGCGAGCGUUGUCCGGAAUUAUUGGGCGUAAAGAGCUCGUAGGCGGUCUGUCGCGUCUGCUGUGAAAACUCAGGGCUUAACCCUGAGCUUGCAGUGGGUACGGGCAGACUAGAGUGCGGUAGGGGAGACUGGAAUUCCUGGUGUAGCGGUGAAAUGCGCAGAUAUCAGGAGGAACACCGAUGGCGAAGGCAGCCCCCUGGGUCGACGACUGACGCUCAGGCA